AGUAGCCCCAUUUAAUCCAUGGUUCGAGGUCAUCUUUUGCAACAAUGAAACCACCAAGCACAAAAACUAUCAGUAGACUGAAAGUGCCAAUAGUGCUUGCAACUACUAGAGUCCUUCCAAUUGCAGCAAUAAAGCGGAAGAGAGACAACGCCAUCUGGUGCAGAGCGAAAAAUACCAAGAAUUGACGGAAGAACCUACUUGCAGCAGGAGCAAAACCGACGGUAUAAUAAGUAAGGACAACCCAUAUCAAUGAUUCCAUGAAGGAGAGGGGGAUUCUUAAAAGCCAAAUUGGGAGAGCAAAAGCCCAGGCAGGAUAAAAUAGAGAAUCUCUUUGUUUAAAGAACACAGGAAGUCUGAAAAUGAUCAGUGCAAGCUCUGCUGCACCGUUAAA
rnacentral:misc_RNA from 1 species